rnacentral:rRNA from 1 species
AACGAACGCUGGCGGCAGGCUUAACACAUGCAAGUCGAGCGCUCACUUCGGUGGGAGCGGCAGACGGGUGAGUAACGCGUGGGAAUCUACCCAACUCUACGGAAUAACUCAGGGAAACUUGUGCUAAUACCGUAUAUGCCUUUAAGUCUUAAGACUGCAAGGGAAAUAUUUAUAGCUCUAGGAUCGGCCUGUACGGUGUCAGUUUGUUGGUGAGGUAAUGGCUCACCAAGACUAUGACGCCUAACUGGUUUGAGAGGAUGAUCAGUCACACUGGAACUGAGACACGGUCCAG